rnacentral:SRP_RNA from 1 species
GCCGGGCAUGGUAGCUCAUGCCUGUAAUCCCAGCACUUUGGGAGGCUGAGGCGGGUGGAUCACCUGAGGUCAGGAGUUUGAGACCAGCCUGGCCAACAUGGUGAAACCCCGUCUCUA